rnacentral:rRNA from 2 species
ACAACUCUGAGCGGUGGAUCACUUGGUCUGUGGAUGCUAUGAAGACCAUAGCUAAGUGUGAGAAUGCCAGCGAGCCGUCGCUAUAUGCGCUGUUACCUUCUCUCAUAUGUCGAAUGCAUAUUGCGCCCCACCCAGUGAUUGGCAAUCUUACAGAUCAAAGCUGGUGAGCUGUAAC